CAGCGCUCCGCUCCCAGGCGUGCCGUCGACCCCAGCUGACAGCCGUCCGCACACACCUCACCGCCUCGCCAUGUUCCGCAGUCUGUUCCUGCUGGUGCUGCUCAGUGUCGUCGCCCUGGCUUGUGCCAACCCCGGCGGUCGGCGCCACGACUAUGGCGCGGCGGCGGCGAGGGCGGCGCAGCAGGCGGCCGGCAGCCGGUUCGGCCUGGGCGGUAGCUGGAGUCCCAAGGCGGGCGGCGUGCGGGUCUGGAGAAGCCGCAACGGUCGCGCUGGCCUCGGUGUGGGUCUCAGCUCUGACGGCAGAAAGAACCACGGUGUCGGGAUCGGCUUCCAGCUCAAGUUUUGAGCGUGCACGGCGGCGGUAGCAUCGCGAUGGUGGCUCUAGCGUCGCUGACUUAUCGCUGUCGAUGACACCAAUAAGCGACGACUCCCAUGAGUCUGGUUAUGGAACUAUGCAGUUGAGAAAAGAAGGCUGUGGUAUGCUCAUUUUUGUAUGGAUGGCUGCCUCUUAGACGCAGCUACUCUCAUUAGCGAGAAUAUCCAACAAUUGGCCAUGGUUUUGUGUUGCAUGCUGUAAUUCCAGCCCUUCAUGGCUCGCCAUCCGUUAUGUUCAUGGACGUUCUGGUUCUACGGUCAAAUACACAAUGGUUUGAUCCACG